rnacentral:sRNA from 1 species
UUAUAUCUGACAAAUGACAAGUUUUGGCAAAAUAGGAUAACAUAAAUAUCGAUUACAAAUGUGUUUUAGAUUAAGCUCAGGUUAGCCGGCUCGGCCGAGUGGCUGCUGGUCCGGCCACCCGGGAUGCGUAUGGGUCUGGAGGAUGUUUUGACUUUGGAUUUGCGGAAAAUUUGCUUAUAUUUUGCAGGUUUGGUGGUAAAAUGUCGGCAUUCAAGUUAAGUAAUUGUUGUUUUUAUAUUUUUUGGCUUUUAAUGAAUAUAAUUAUUUUAUUUUCAAGUUGAUUCACUGGAUGUUGCGUUGGGAUGUCUUCUGGCUGCUUGCUUAGUUGCUGACAUACAUAUGUACAUUUAUUAUGUACGUACAGUUAAUUUCGUACACCAUAUGUGUUUUAUUUAUUUAAUUGGCAGGUUUUGUCUUCAGCUUUGUAAUAAUGUUUGUAUGUAAUUUUGUGUAGUUUAUGUUGUUAUAU